rnacentral:rRNA from 1 species
UGCCAGCCGCCGCGGUAAAACGUAGGGGGCGAGCGUUAUCCGGAAUUACUGGGCGUAAAGCGCACGUAGGCGGAUUAGUAAGUUAGGGGUGAAAUCCCGGGGCUCAACCCUGGAACUGCCUCAUAAACUCCUGGUCUAGAGUUCGAGAGAGGUGAGUGGAAUUCCGAGUGUAGAGGUGAAAUUCGUAGAUAUUGGAAGGAAUACCGAUGGCGAAGGCAGCUUGCUGGCCUGCAACUGACGCUGAGGCGCGAAAGCGUGGGUAGCAAACAGGAUUAGAUA